rnacentral:rRNA from 1 species
GAUGAACGCUAGCUACAGGCUUAACACAUGCAAGUCGAGGGGCAGCAUGGUCUUAGCUUGCUAAGGCCGAUGGCGACCGGCGCACGGGUGAGUAACACGUAUCCAACCUGCCGUCUACUCUUGGACAGCCUUCUGAAAGGAAGAUUAAUACAAGAUGGCAUCAUGAGUCCGCAUGUUCACAUGAUUAAAGGUAUUCCGGUAGACGAUGGGGAUGCGUUCCAUUAGAUAGUAGGCGGGGUAACGGCCCACCUAGUCUUCGAUGGAUAGGGGUUCUGAGAGGAAGGUCCCCCACAUUGGAACUGAGACACGGUCCAAACUCCUACGGGAGGCAGCAGUGAGGAAUAUUGGUCAAUGGGCGAGAGCCUGAACCAGCCAAGUAGCGUGAAGGAUGACUGCCCUAUGGGUUGUAAACUUCUUUUAUAAAGGAAUAAAGUCGGGUAUGGAUACCCGUUUGCAUGUACUUUAUGAAUAAGGAUCGGCUAACUCCGUGCCAGCAGCCGCGGUAAUACGGAGGAUCCGAGCGUUAUCCGGAUUUAUUGGGUUUAAAGGGAGCGUAGAUGGAUGUUUAAGUCAGUUGUGAAAGUUUGCGGCUCAACCGUAAAAUUGCAGUUGAUACUGGAUAUCUUGAGUGCAGUUGAGGCAGGCGGAAUUCGUGGUGUAGCGGUGAAAUGCUUAGAUAUCACGAAGAACUCCGAUUGCGAAGGCAGCCUGCUAAGCUGCAACUGACAUUGAGGCUCGAAAGUGUGGGUAUCAAACAGGAUUAGA